rfam:Triticum aestivum genome assembly, contig: Triticum_aestivum_CS42_TGACv1_scaffold_526952_6DL
UAGGUACUCCCUCCGUUUCAAGAUACUUGUCCUGAAAAUGGAUAAAAUAGAUGUAUUUAUAACUAAAUUAAGUCUAGAUACAACCAUUUUUAGGACAAGUAUUUUCGGAUGGAGGGAGUAGUAC